rnacentral:rRNA from 1 species
GAGUUUGAUCAUGGCUCAGGAUGAACGCCGGCGGUGUGCUUAAUACAUGCAAGUCGUACGCACUGGCCCAACUGAUUGAUGGUGCUUGCACCUGAUUGACGAUGGAUCACCAGUGAGUGGCGGACGGGUGAGUAACACGUAGGUAACCUGCCCCGGAGCGGGGGAUAACAUUUGGAAACAGAUGCUAAUACCGCAUAACAACAAAGGCCACAUGGCUUUUGUUUGAAAGAUGGCUUUGGCCAUCACUCUGGGAUGGACCUGCGGUGCAUUAGCUAGUUGGUAAGGUAACGGCUUACCAAGGCGAUGAUGCAUAGCCGAGUUGAGAGACUGAUCGGCCACAAUGGAACUGAGACACGGUCCAUACUCCUACGGGAGGCAGCAGUAGGGAAUCUUCCACAAUGGGCGCAAGCCUGAUGGAGCAACACCGCGUGAGUGAAGAGGGUUUCGGCUCGUAAAGCUCUGUUGUUGGAGAAGAACGUGCGUGAGAG